CGGUGCCUGUGAUGUGGGCAACAACUUCGUACUGCCCCCAAUGAGCCCAUUGCAGGCGGGGCCCAUCAGCCCAAACUUUCACGCGUCACCAACCAUCGUUUUCGCUGCCGCGUCGUCGCGGGACCCACACCAAAGCGUGCAGCCAAUCGCUGUCUCGAGUCUGGCCCUAGUACUUCUCAAAAGCGUACUGUUAUGGGCCCACCAUAUACCCUGGGCCCACCUUUCCCGUCCACUCUGAAAACAACAUCGUUUCUUUUUUUUUUUCUGUUUUCUUUUUCUUCUGUGGCAAUUUCUGCUCCCUACCUAACGUUGCUUUUUUCCAUAUAUGAUGAAUGCCACUAUUUUUUAAACACAAUGGAAUUAUAUUUCAGGACAGGUUGUAUAUAAUCAUCCAUGACUAUUGAUACUCCUAGAUAGCUAGUAGAUGUUUAUUCUUUGAGAGUAUAAAUGCUGAUAGUAUUUUUUUAUAGACUUUUAAAAAAUGAGACGCUCAUUCUUUUAAAAUGGUCAGGAUAAUUAGAAACACAGGGAGCAGAAGUAUGACCGAUGGCAGAUGCUUUGAUGAUGUGAAGGGUGAUGGGGCCAUGGACUAUAGCGUGUGCCAGUGUGUCUCCUGCAAACUCAUGUAGCAUUUCCUACUUUAGCCAAUCUAAGGGCAUGUUUGGUUUACAGGAUUUUCAAAGUAAUUCUAAAGGAACCAGAUUCCUAUAGUUUAAAACACUGUAGCAGUGUUUGGAAUGAAGGAUUCACAAGUUCCUUUCCAAAGGAAAAAUUCCUGCGCAGGUACAUUUUGAAGGAAAGAAAGAAUCCACUUCUAGCUCUUGGUUUCAAUUCCUUCACGAAGUCCAAGGCUCAUGCACACUAAUACUCACUUUCUGUUCUUGGCUUUUAUGGAGAUACACAGCCAAGUACUCAUUUCUAUGUUGUUUAUAUUCCUUUGUUCCAAACACCAAAUCCUCUAGAAUUCCUAUAUUUUUCUUUCCUCUGUUAUACACAUGUAUUCCUUUCCUAUUCCUGUGUUUUCCCCUAUUCCUCUGUUUUGUAUUCCUUCGUUCCAAACAGGCCCUAAAGUUUGAGAUAGAAAAUAUCAAAACAAUACUCCCUCCGUUCCAAAUUAUAAGUCAUUCCAAGAAUCUUGAAGAGUCAAAGCAUUUUCAAGAUUGACAAAAAAUAUAGAGAGAAAUAUAAAGAUUUAUGUCAUAAAAUAGGUACACUAUGAAAAUAUAACUAAGGCCUUGUUUGGAUGUGAAUUUUUUUGGAUUUCGCUACUGUAGCACUUUCGUUUGUUUGUGGCAAAUAUUAUCUAAUUAUAGACUAACUAGAGUCAAAAGAUUCGUCUCGCGAUUUAAAGACAAACUGUGUAAUUAGUUUUUAUUUUUGUCUAUGUUUAAUGCUUCACGCAUGUGCCGCAAGAUUCGAUGUGAUGG
rnacentral:lncRNA from 1 species